GCAAAGGGACAUCCAAGGACCCCCACAGAGCAUGGCCCCAAGCAUUGCAUGGCCACAAAUCCUGCCCCUUUUCCCCUGCACGCAGUGCUGCAUUGGAUCCACUGCAUUUGGGGCCCUCUGUGGCUAAAGGGGCAGGAUUUGUCCACAAAAAUAGGCAAAUCUCCAUUAGCAGUAUAGAGCUAUGACACAUCAUUUAACAGUUCUGAUUCCAUCUACUUGAGAACUCUUCUGUCAUUGACACGAUCUUCCCAGAGAUGCCAAGUCACUUCAUCAGAUAUGACAAACUUGCUUGAUGCACUGAAUCAAAGGCUGAUGGAAGUCUAUAAAAAGUGCUGCUCAUAGCUUAUGAAAUGCAGCCAUCUUCCUCUCAAAAAGCUGUCUUAAGGUAAAGAUCUGGUUGACAGUGGAAUGGCCAGGUCUAAAGUUGCCCUGAGUAUCCUGGCCUUUGCCAUGAAGGGCAUUGUUUAUUCAGGACAUUGACAUGGAAACAAAGACUUUCCCUGGGAUUGACAACAGUGUAAUACUUAUUGCCCUUUUUGAACAGAGGCAGAAUAACAACCUUCUUCCAGUCAUCGGGGAUGGUAUUAGUACAGCAGAUGGUCUAGAAGCCCUAUAGCCAUGGCACUACAAAUACUCUCGCCAGUUUUCAGCAUGUCAGGGGUAAUGUUACAAACUCCUUUUGCCUUCCCAGACUUCAGCUUAUGGACUGUGAUGCACAUCUCUUCUUGGCUGAAGGAAGGUGGCUGUACUGGAACUUCCAGCCCCUCUGAAAUGGAAGAGGGACUGCAGGGAAUGAGCAUCUGUUGAGGAGCAUUUUGAAAUGAUUGUCUC